UCCGGUUUGACACCGGCAGUCUCGUUAGAGUCCUCAGCAUUACCUGGUAGCAACUAACGAUAGGGGUUUCGCUCGUUAAGGGACUUAACCCGACACUUCACAGCACGAGCUGACGACAGCCAUGCAGCACCUGUGUACGUUCCACGGAAACCGCGUCAUCCCGCUUUCACGGGACUAAUCCGUACAUGUCAAGUCUUGGAUAAGGUUCUUCGCGUUGCUUCGAAUUAAGCCACAUGCUCCACCGCUUGUGUGAGCCCCCGUCAAUUCCUUUGAGUUUUAGCCUUGCGACCGUACUCCCCAGGCGGCGCACUUACACUUUUGCUUCGAUCCAGAUGGCGUCAGAGCCUCCUGGAUCUAGUGCGCAUCGUUUAGGGCGUGGACUAC
rnacentral:misc_RNA from 1 species